rnacentral:rRNA from 1 species
UUGCGGCAUUCGCUAGUACGGCGAGUGAGCGGGAAGAGCUCAAAUUUGAAAUCUAGUAGCCUUCGGCUGCUCGAGUUGUAAUCUAGAGAAGUGUUUUCCGUGCCGGCCCAUGUACAAGUCCCUUGGAACAGGGCGUCAUAGAGGGUGAGAAUCCCGUCCUUGACAUGGACCCCCGGUGCUCUGUGAUACACUUUCAACGAGUCGAGUUGUUUGGGAAUGCAGCUCAAAAUGGGUGGUGAAUUCCAUCUAAAGCUAAAUAUUGGCGAGAGACCGAUAGCGAACAAGUACCGUGAGGGAAAGAUGAAAAGCACUUUGGAAAGAGAGUUAAACAGUACGUGAAAUUGUUGAAAGGGAAACGAUUGAAGUCAGUCAUGCUCUUUGGUAUUUAUAUCAUUGAGUGGGGUCAACAUCAGUUUUGAGCGAUGGAUAAAGGCACUAGGAAGGUAGCACUCUCGGGUGAACUUAUAGCCUAGCGUCAUAUACAUUGUUUGGGACUGAGGAACGCAGCAUGCCUUUAUGGCCGGGAUUCGUCCACGUACAUGCUUAGGAUGUUGACAUAAUGGCUUUAAACGACCCGUCUUGA